rnacentral:rRNA from 1 species
GGGGAAUAUUGCGCAAUGGGGGAAACCCUGACGCAGCAAUACCGCGUGAGUGAAGAAGGUUUUCGGAUCGUAAAGCUCUGUUAUUGGGGAAGAAAAAAAGACGGUACCCAAGAAGAAAGUCCCGGCUAACUCCGUGCCAGCAGCCGCGGUAAUACGGAGGGAGCUAGCGUUGUUCGGAAUUACUGGGCGUAAAGCGCACGUAGGCGGCUACACAAGUCAGAGGUGAAAGCCCGGGGCUCAACCCCGGAACUGCCUUUGAAACUAGGUGGCUAGAAUCUUGGAGAGGUCAGUGGAAUUCCGAGUGUAGAGGUGAAAUUCGUAGAUAUUCGGAAGAACACCAGUGGCGAAGGCGACUAACUGGACAAGUAUUGACGCUGAGGUGCGAAAGCGUGGGGAGCAAACA